rnacentral:rRNA from 1 species
UCUUCCGCAAUGGACGAAAGUCUGACGGAGCAACGCCGCGUGAGUGAUGAAGGUUUUCGGAUCGUAAAACUCUGUUGUUAGGGAAGAACAAGUAUCGUUCGAAUAGGGCGGUACCUUGACGGUACCUAACCAGAAAGCCACGGCUAACUACGUGCCAGCAGCCGCGGUAAUACGUAGGUGGCAAGCGUUGUCCGGAAUUAUUGGGCGUAAAGCGCGCGCAGGCGGUUUCUUAAGUCUGAUGUGAAAGCCCACGGCUCAACCGUGGAGGGUCAUUGGAAACUGGGAGACUUGAGUGCAGAAGAGAAGAGCGGAAUUCCACGUGUAGCGGUGAAAUGCGUAGAGAUGUGGAGGAACACCAGUGGCGAAGGCGGCUCUUUGGUCUGUAACUGACGCUGAGGCGCGAAAGCGUGGGGAGCGAACAGGAUUAGAUACCCUGGUAGUCCACGCCGUAAACGAUGAGUGCUAAGUGUUAGAGGGUUUCCGCCCUUUAGUGCUGCAGCUAACGCAUUAAGCACUCCGCCUGGGGAGUACGGCCGCAAGGCUGAAACUCAAAGGAAUUGACGGGGGCCCGCACAAGCGGUGGAGCAUGUGGUUUAAUUCGAAGCAACGCGAAGAACCUUACCAGGUCUUGACAUCCUCUUGCCCUCCCUAGAGAUAGGGA